AGUUUAUGCAUGAAACAAUAACAACCCUCAAGUGUUUCUUUUGCCAAAUCAAUCAGAACUUCCACUCAACAUGAGUGAUCACUCACAAGUUGCGACUCCAUCAGAUUUUGACUCAGGAAGUGAAACUCAACUGUCAUUGUCAUCAAGAUCUGAAUGCCUUCUAGCACCUCAAUUCCCAGUGAAUCACAGUUUUUUAAGCAGGGAGAAUGCGGAUGCUCAAAACAAAAUUACACAGAUUGAAGAGAAAAAUUUGCUCUUAUCAGUGGAGAAUGAAAUUUUGGAGAAGUACCUCUUGAAAGUUGAUCCUGCAUCAAUUGAUGGAAUGGAUAAACUAUUAGAAAAAGUGAAUGAAAACAUAGCCAAAUCUCAAAUCAUCGUCCAAUCUCUGGAGCCUAUAUCAAGAGCUGGGAGUCGAACUUCUCAGAUAUCAAAGGCUGAUUCUGUGCACUCUGUUGGACCUACGUCGACUUUUACGCUGCCUGCGUCCGAAUCUCUCAAAAUACCACAGUAAGUAUUCAUCUGAAUUCAGGGUGAUAAGUUCUUGAAGAAGGGAUAGUCUGGGAAAAUCUCUAAAAAUGAAAACUUUUUAGAAACUGUCAAUUUUAUAAGUACAGCCAUAUUUGCUAGCAGAACCAAAUCU
rnacentral:lncRNA from 1 species